UUACCAAUUAGAGCCUAUUGCUUCGUGUCGGAGUAACUCCCCCUAAUUUUUUGUUCGUCGAUUUUGAUUCGGGAAACCCUCGGAAAUGGCGAAAUUAUUUUGGUUGGAAGCUGUUCUUCCGCUGGGAAUCAUUGCCGGGAUGCUGUGCGUUAUGGGCAACGCCCAGUACUACAUCCACAAAGCGGCCCACGGAAGGCCAAAGCAUGUCGGGAAUGAUAUGUGGGAUGUGGCGAUGGAGCGGAGGGACAAGAAGAUCACGGAGCAGUAUUCUUCCGCCGGGAAUUAGGAACUGGUUGUCCAUGGGAGGCGCUCAACGCAGAUGGGAAUAACGUUCCUUCAAGAAUCGGAGACAAUAUGCUUUAAGGCACCUUGUACCAUGCUUUUAUUUGUGCUUUUCCUUAUUUAUGCACAUGAGAACCCCUGUGUGAUCGAAGUGGCGAAUUCCAGUUAAAAUAUUAUAGAUGGUUGGCUGGUUCAUUAGCUGGGGCCAUAUGUCUGCGAACAAUUGGAGAAUGUUGCAUUGUACUCUUGUUUUGAAGGAAUCAAAUUACUUCGUGUCUUUGCUUUGCUGUUAAAAUUGUACUUUUAGUGAUCAAUUUAAUUUUAUAUGAAACAGGAAGCUGCCCGGGAGACUAAUAUUCUUCGUAUGGUUUGAUUUUGCAGAGUUGUGCUUGAUACAUGUAGCAGAAGAUGCAUUGGUGGUUUCAUAUUUAAGGAUUUGGUUCACUGA